CCUACGGGAGGCAGCAGUGGGGAAUCUUGGACAAUGGGCGCAAGCCUGAUCCAGCCAUGCCGCGUGAGCGAUGAAGGCCUUAGGGUUGUAAAGCUCUUUCGCCAGGGAAGAUAAUGACGGUACCUGGUAAAGAAACCCCGGCUAACUCCGUGCCAGCAGCCGCGGUAAUACGGAGGGGGUUAGCGUUGUUCGGAAUUACUGGGCGUAAAGCGCACGUAGGCGGAUUAGUCAGUCAGGGGUGAAAUCCCGAGGCUCAACCUCGGAACUGCCUUUGAUACUGCUAGUCUAAAGUUCGAGAGAGGUGAGUGGAAUUCCGAGUGUAGAGGUGAAAUUCGUAGAUAUUCGGAGGAACACCAGUGGCGAAGGCGGCUCACUGGCUCGAUACUGACGCUGAGGUGCUAAAGCGUGGGGAGCAAACAGGAUUAGAUACCCUGGUAG
rnacentral:rRNA from 1 species